rnacentral:rRNA from 1 species
GUUUUUUUGGAAAUAAUUUAAAGUCAAAUCUGCCCMCUGAUUUAAUUAAAGGGCUGCAGUAAAUUGACUGUACAAAGGUAGCAUAAUCAAUAGUCUUUUAAUUGAAGACUUGUAUGAAUGAUUUGAUGAAAUAUAAACUGUCUCUUUUUUAAAAUUAGAAUUUAAUUUUUUAGUAAAAAAGCUAAAAUUACUUUAAAAGACGAGAAGACCCUAUAGAGUUUUAUAAUUAAUUUAUUUAUUAUUUUUUAUUUAUAUUAGAAUAAAAAUUAAAAUAAUUAUUUUGUUGGGGUGAUAAAAAAAUAAAAAUAACUUUUUUUUUAAUUUUACAUUGAUUAAUGAAAAUAUGAUCCAUAAUUUAUGAUUAAAAGAAAAAAUUACCUUAGGGAUAACAGCGUAAUUUUUUUUUUUAGUUCAUAUAAAAAAAAAAGUUUGCGACCUCGAUGUUGGAUUAAGAUAAAAUUUAAAUGUAGAAGUUUAAAAUUUUUGAUCUGUUCGAUCAUUAAAAUCUUACA